rnacentral:lncRNA from 1 species
CAGGGUUUACACUUUUCCAACUUCAAGUGGCAACCUAAGGCAAAACUACAAUGUUUAACUCGAAUUACAUUCAUGAAAGUAAACAAUCUAGUACUACUUCCGAGCACCUUUGGUCUCAAAUCCUGUAAAAGAAAAUCACAACGUGGAAUGAGCUACACAACCCAGUGAGAUUCCAAGACAUUCUAACAGUUCAAACAAAUCAAGAAAGUUGUGCAUGUCAUAUGCAUGGUUCGAGGUUACACAAUGGCAUGUUAUCAUGAGGUGAUAAUCAUUACUCGGUAAUUGCUACUUUGAAAACACAUGCAGAAGUAGUACUUUUGCUGGUAACCUUACUAUGAGUACAACUCAUAAAUUAUCUAAAAUCACUAACGUAUUUUUGGAAUGAAUGACCAUAUAAAUAUAUUUUCAUGAAUUUUUAGUCAAACAAAUAGUGGCUCGUCUGACUAGAAGAAUAUUACAAGGAUUGCUUCAUCUCAGAGAUUAAUGCUCAUGAGGAGUCUUACCCGAGAAAUGUCAACUAGGAGAGCAAUAACAUUAUUAAUAGCAAAGCAAGCACAAAAGGAUACAGUACUCGGUCCACUUCCCGUCCUUAUAACUCCGAUCGGUAACUCCUUCGGUUGGCUGGCCAUCACCUUAUCCCUCCAGUGGUAGUACUCGAGUAUACCGAAACGGUUGUCCAGGGUUCCAUCCUACCCGACCGAGCCCAGUCCUGGCUCGAGUAGGUCAGUAACCGAGGCAGGGCCCAAGUUCAGCUUAUAGCUUACAACAUGCAUAGGUAAUCAAGUAAUUCGACAAAAAGUAAAAUUUAUCAUUUGAAUAGGUCGAGUGAGGUAAAGUACACACUCGCCUAACAAUGAUGGACAACUUCAUAUAACAUGUGAUUCAUGAUAAUCAGGUAAUCAAGUGGAUACUUAGCACGUAAGCACGUAAGCAAUACAAGUUGAUUUCAUGGGAGCAUGUAAUUCACGGAUAUCGAAUAAUCAUAUAGAUUAGAAAUCAUGUGAGUAAAUAGUCAAGUAAUCAGGUAGUCAUGUGGGUUGGUAAACGGUUCACGGUUAACGGUUAACGGUUGGCGGUUAACGGUUGAGUAAUGACGGUUAUUUGGCAGGCAUUUGCCAUAUUAAUAGGCCAUCAUUGGCCGUUAUCCCAUUUUUACCAUGUGAGAGUCAAGGAGAUUCACUCCAACGACGUAUGCAACCAUAGCAUACCAAGUCAUGUUAUUCGAGCAUUUUCGAGCAUGGGUAUGGUUAAUAUUUAACACAUAGUGCUUAACACUUAGCAAUCAUGAAAUGAGCAUGUCUAAACUUAUUCCAUUACGUAUUCCUAUAUGGAACACUCACCUAGUCAAACAAGCGCAAUAGGUCUCAAACAAGCGUUUUAGGCGUCCGCUCCGAGUUCCUCUUGGAGAUUUCCUCGAUUGCCUGAGCAAACAAUAAUUCAAGUACCACUCAAUAUCACUACGAAUUCUCUAGUUUUCGAUGAAGAUUGUACGCUAGUGCAAUCUAAGAAAUUAACGUGGAAACGAGCCUAAGAAUUCGUGUAACUCGAGGUUCAAAAGUGGGGUUUUAAAACACAAGACAAAUUUGAUUUCCAUCUCUGGAUUCAAAUGUAAAACAAUCAAAUGAUAUUGAAAGAAAUGAAGAGUUCGAAACCCCUUAUUUUCCUUUAAGUUAGAAAAUUCCAGAUUUAACAAGUAAUAUUUGAAAAAUCAUAUCUUACUCUCUACAAGCCCAAAAUUGGAAAACUUGGUACUAUUGGAAACCUUUUUGAAAGUACAAAAAGUUCCUAGAAUACACUUUUCUAAGAUUCCACAUGGAAAACAUUAAAAAAUAAGCUCAAAGUCUCUGCUUUGGUUCAUAAGGCAGAUUUAAGUUGGUUUUUGGCCAACUUUGAAAAUUCAGCAAAAUUCACUUGAUUGGAACUAGCUUUUGAAAUUCGGUACUCUUUUAGAGUUGCAAUCCAAGUUUAUAGUAAAAUAAGCGGAAUGAGAAAUGGAGUUUUGCGCACCAAGUUACGGUAGCUCAAAGUUACUAAAAGUUUCUUGUUAAACAAGGAUUUUCCAAAAUCAAGUCUCGAACUUUGGUAAUUUAUUUGACCCAUGAAACGGUCUCGGAAUAAUACCAUAAUUAGCAGUAUAAUACUACCAUAUAAGGGUUAUUCCUCUGUCAAAUUUCAUAGAAAAAUAUGCACGGAAAGUCACUUAACAAAAUCACUCAAGUUUCCAAAAUUUUAAGGCAAGGCUGCCUUGUGUAUGAAAAUUUCCUUUUCUAAACUUUUGACCAAGAGAAAAUCCUCUAAAUAUGGUUCAUUUGUUGAGACAAAAUCUAAAGAACAUUCAUGGUACCUUUGGUGGGUGUUUAACACCAAGAAAUUUAAUUAUCAAGUCUAAACCAAGCCUUGCAUCAAAUCUGUCGAAAAAUCAGGGUUUUCAAGAGCAGGGCAGGUUCCGUAUUUUGAUCACAAAUCACUCAAACUAACUCAGAAUUGGGCAUAGUUUAAGGCGUUGGAAAAUAAAUUCAUAAAGCUAUAAUUUCACAGAAGAAAUCAUUUUGAAAUUUGGCGCGCAACUAGCUCGAAUUCGAGCCACAAGUUGUAGCUUCAGCAUUUUGUUCUUAUAAAACAGAGAAACAGAACAUCUGACUUAAAAUGGUUGGUUUGGCUCACGUACAUGGAACCAGAAUGUGUAUUUUAUACUGUAGGAAAGGUUGGAAUGUCUAGUUUCAAAUGCCACUAACGGCACUCGAUUUCGACAUCGGAGCUCAAAAUUAUGGCCGAAAUACGAAAGCUGGUCAGAGCAUUUCGGAAAUAGUUCCAGAUUUACUAGCUUUGUGAAAUCGAUUUAUUUGACCAACCAAACCUCAAUAUUUUUCAAUGAAACUUUGUACACCAUAUAUUCAACAUAUCAACAUGAUAUACAAGUCAUGAAACCCUCAAAAUUCUGCAAAAAUGGGUGCGAUUAAAACAGGGCAGAUUCGUUAUCAUCACAUGCAACUCCUCAAUUUGCCCCCUUUUUAAUUUCUGCCACUUAACUCUACUAAAUUAGCACCUAAUCAACACAAGCAGCAUCAAAUCCUGGCUAAUCAGAUUAUCCAAGUCAUUGUGGGAAUUCAUAGAGCCCACUCACCAAAUUUUCCAUUAAAACUCAAAGGAGUCACCAUCGGCUAGGCUGGAAAAAUUGCAGCAAAUAGAUAGUUUGGAAAACGAACUUUUCCCUAAGAAAAUUCAUUACUUUGUUCACUCAAACUCAGCAUGCAUAUGGUGAUUAUUGUGUUAUGAGGUAUAUUGAACCACAAUACGAAAUUUGCAGCCAAGAUUUGAAGAGAAAAACUGGAAAUUCUUUCUUUCCCUCUCUCGGCCAACUCAACAGAUUUCCAGCAAUUAGAUUGGUCAUAAAUCCAACUUUUCCUUCGGUUAAUUCAUGGUAUUAGGUGCUAAAAAUUAACAUGCAAAUACUUAACUAGCUAAUCAAUAUUUCUAGUUCAAAAUCGGAUUCAAACAACAGCCAUAAUCAUCCAAGAAAACCAGAAAUUCUGUUUGCUACCUUCGGAUGAGCUUGCAUGCGGCCAGAUUGUUUUUCAUUCUUAUUUUUUUCUAGCAUAACCGAACCAAGGGGCUGCAUGUAGAGCUUAAUUACCUUGUUCUUAAUUAGUUAAACGCAUCUAUCAGCUCAAACUACUACAAAGAGACAGAAUUAAAUCUGCAUUUUCCAAAUCAGUCCCACGGCAAAUUCCAAUUUCUUCCUAAUCAGAUUUUCUCAUGCUUUGGUUUCAUCAUCCGAGACACAAACACUUCAUGCAUGACCAUAAUUCACUGCAUCUACCACUAAUCAACUCCUUAUAACUCAGAAAUUACCUCAGGUUGCAGCUUAUACACGCGACAAGGUGCUGUCAAUUUUUCCUUCUCUCGGAUGGUUCGAAGUGCAGCCCGUUU